GCUCAGGGGCUCUAGCUGGUUGUCACUGUGCUAAGCCAAGGAGGGAGAGACAAGUCUGGACUCAGGAGAGAGGUCCAAGCUGCAGAGACUACAUCUCUAGGAAUCAUCACACCAGGCAACAGAUUACAGGAUGUCUGGGCCAUAAACAAAUUGGGAAAGAUGGACAGGUCACAGUCUCUCUCCUAUAUGGGCACAGAAGCAUGAAGAAGUCAUUUCAGCAUAUGAAAUGGAGUCUUGCUCUGUUGCACAGGUUGGAGUGCAGUGGCAUGAUCUUAGCUCACUACAAUCUCCAUCUCCCAGGUUCAAGAGAUUCUCCUGCCUCAGCCUCCUGAGUAGCUGAGAUUACAGAUGUGACCAGAGUUCAAAGAGAAGACACCUGUGAAUGCGUUGGAGGGACAAAUGCCAGAUGCAUGAGAUGUUACCAAUUUCUCUUUUGAGAAUGUUGGAGUCCACCUUGCUUAAUGAAGCAUUUACAACACUUUCAUUGUGCACCACUGAGCGAGCCAUGGUGAGACGGUGCUCCUUCUGGGUUUCCAGACAUGUGUCAUUUCCACUGCAUAUUUAGCAGCACAUAACUGCCUGCAGUGGGGAGAGUGGAAUGUGAGACAAGGCUUUACAACCAUUAUCUGCUUCAAUGUUCAUCAACUCUACGUGGAAGUUACCAUCAUCACACGAGAGAUGGUGGGUGAAGCCAAGGCUUAAGGAUACACCUUUUCAUGUAAGUGAAAUCAAAGAAGAUGAUUAAAACAUCAGUGCCAAGGACAUAAGAAGACAGCACAUGAAGAUAUCUUCAAGAAGACAGCGUGGAAGAUGUAGCUUUGGUAAUUUAAAGAAAGUAGAAGACACAGAAACAGUUACGCGGUAAGUGCUGGUGUGAGGUAAUCAGGUAUGUACAGCCACUACUGAGAAGCAGUAAGAGCCCGUGGGAGACCAGGAGCACGGAUGUACAUUGUCAUUGUAUUUCUAUAAGACUUUGCUAUAGUAGUGAGAGUAGGGCUUCGAAUUUUAACAAGGACUAAUCGCAGAGGAUUUAAAAAUGCAGGCUGGGAAAUAUGAUCUUCAUUUGAUAAAAAACCAAGACAUAGGUUAGUGCUUUUACAAAAGGAAAUAAUCUGGUGAUGAUGCUUUCUUAGGAAGAUUAAAUCUGAUUAGACUGUGUAGAAUGAGCUUGUAUAAGAGAGAAUACUGGAUCCAGAGAGAUGGCAAACAAUUUAUCAUAUCACUUCUACGUGCUGAGAUGAGGAUUUGGAUGCAAUGGAGACGAGAAAUGAAGACACAUAAAUAAUAUAUUCCUACACCAGUCACAGAGAAAUCAUAUCCUAACCACCCAACCAAUUUUCUUUAGUCAUAACUAGGAAAGAUCAACCAAGAUCACUAAAUCGUUAGAAAAAAAAAUCAAUAGUAGAGAAACAGACUGCUACACAAAAAGAAAUGAUUCAGGUAAUACCAAUAACAUAUUAAAAAACCUCUAAGAGAAUCCCUGUAAUUAGUAUUUUCAGAGAGAUUUGAGAAAAUAUUACAUUUGUAAAACAUGAACAUGGUACUAGGGAAAACCAGGCAGAGAACACCGUCCAUGUAUUAGGUUGUUCUCGCAUUGCUAUAAAGAAAUACCUGAGACUGGGUAAUUUAUAAAGAAGAGAGGUUUAACUGGCUUAUGGUUCUGCAGGUUAUACAGGAAGCAUGGUAUAGGCAUCUGCUCAGGGAGGCCUUAGGAAGCUUACAAUCAUGGUGGAAAGUGAAGGGGGAGCAGGCACAUCACAUGAUGAAAGCAGGAGUGAGUGAGAGAGAGAAGGGAGUAGGUGGAGGUGCCACACACUUUUAAAUGAUCAGAACUCACAAGAACUCACUCACUAUCACCAAGGCAUCACCAAGCCUGAGGGAUCCAUUCCCAUGACCCAGAAACCUCCCACCAGGUCCCAACUCUGGCGUUUGAGAUUACAAUUCAACAUGAGAUUUGGACAGGGACACAUAUUCAAUCUAUGUCAGUCCAUAUUCUUCACCUUCUCUCCUGUUCAGGGAUGAACUGUUAGCUAAAGUCUAGCCCUUCUGUUCAAAGAUGAACUCAUAGCUAAAAAAUGCAAGACAUCCUGUUAAGGGAUGAACUCUUAGCUAAAGUCUAAGCCCAGUCUUUCCUCCGAGCCCUGGAUCCCAUCCUUUCUCAUCAGUUCAAGGCUAUCACCGCUAGAACUGUCUCUCCUCAGGUAUCAAUAAUAUUUCCUCUACUGAAUCAUUUCUAUCAGCUUCCAAUAUAAUGUUCAAAUAUCUCCCAAUACAAUUAUUUUAAAAAAAUCCCUCUCUGGCUUUCUUUGUUUUCUUUUACAGCAAUUAUUGAAUUUUUAAUACAUAACUUUGCUCACUUUCUUCAAUUCUCGUUCUCCUUUUUGUUCUUGAACCCACUGAAAAUAAGCAGAUGCUCCCACAAAAACUUGCCUAAACAAGCUGGCCUGUUGGCCUCCUGUUAUCAAAUGCCAGUUUUCUUCUGGUCUACUUGGGUCUAUGCAUAGCAUUUGAGACAUUUGAUCUUACUUUCCUUUCAGAAACAGCUUUUUCACCCAGCUUCUAGGAUUCCACUCUGAUUCUUUUCUCUUAUUAGUUCAUUCCACCCCUUAGUUGGUUUACUGUUUUAUUUUAUGCUUCCCUCCUGUAGAAAGUAGGUCCUUUGGAGAAAAGAUGUUAUUUUGUAUCCCUUCCAUCUGGAAGAGUGCUCAGUACAUUUUAAGCACUUAAUAUUUGUUUGUUGACUAGGUAACUGAAGGAAAAUAAGAAAGUUAAAAAUAUGACUGCAACAAUAAAUGUUUCAAAGGACAGUGAAUAAUAAAAUGGAUACAUCUGAAGACCAAGCUGCUGAUCUGGUCCAGUGAGUCAAGAAGAUCUCACAAUAAGCAAAGCAAAAAUACAAAAAAAGGUUGCAUAAUGAGUGGAAGUUAAGAGACAUAGAUACAAGUUAUUAAAAAAAAAUCUAAUAGGAAUUUUGGGCUGAAACAACAGAAACAAUGGGAGGUGGCAACACUCAUAAAAUAUUGGAAGGAAUAUUUCUGAAGCUGAUAAAAGUUACGGCUUCUCAGAUUGAAAGAUUUUAGUUAACAUUAGAUUGCAUCCAAAAGAAACAAAGCUGCUCUUUGAUAACUUUUAUAACUCUCGGGAGGAAAAAUAUCUUGACUAUCUAGAGAAUUAAAAAGAAGCUACUGGUUGGGCAAGGUGGCUCACACCUGUAAUCCCAGCAGUUUGGGAGGCUGAGGCAGGAGGAUUGCUUGAGACUUGAGACCAGUCCCAGCAACACAGCAAGAAUCUAUCUCAG